UACAGAGGAUGCAAGCGUUAUCCGGAAUGAUUGGCGUAAAGCGUCUGUGAGGUGGACUUUUUAAGUCCGCCGUCAAAUCCCAGGGCUCAACUCUGGACAGGCGGUGGAAACUACCAAGCUGGAGUACGGUAGGGCAGAGGGAAUUUCCGGUGGAGCGGGUGAAAUGCGUAGAGAUCGGAAAGAACACCAACGGCGAAAGCACUCUCGCUGGGCCGACACUGACACUGAGAGACGAAAGCUAGGGGAGCGAAUGGG
rnacentral:rRNA from 1 species